GGCUCGGUGGUGGAGUGGUCCACAUCUGCAUCCUAUAUGUUUGGGGCAUGAAAGUUUCCGCAGAAGUAGCCCGUUCGAUGCGGGCCCGAGCCA